rnacentral:rRNA from 1 species
AUUCCAGCUCCAAUAGCGUAUAUUAAUGUUGUUGCAGUUAAAAAGCUCGUAGUUGGAUUUCUGGUGGGAGUGGCCGGUCCGCCGUAAGGUGUGUACUUGGUUGUCUCCCGUCAUCCUUGUGGGAACUGCUCUGGCAUUAAGUUGUCGGGGUUAGGGAACACAUCGUUUACUGUGAAAAAAUUAGAGUGUUUAAAGCAGGCUUAUGCCGUUGAAUACAUUAGCAUGGAAUAAUAAGAUAGGACUUUGGCGUCUAUUUUGUUGGUUUGCACACCAAGGUAAUGAUUAAUAGGGACAGUUGGGGGUAUUCGUAUUCCGUUGUCAGAGGUGAAAUUCUUGGAUUUACGGAAGACGAACUUCUGCGAAAGCAUUUACCAAGGAUGUUUUCAUUA